rnacentral:lncRNA from 1 species
CUGUGGGGGAAAAGGUGAUGAGGGUGCAUCUGCACACCUAUGUUCAUAGUGGGGUAUUUAUUCUGCAUCCACGUCUUCACAAGGAGCUGAAAACAAAUUGGAUGGAAGCAACUGGGUUUUAUGGGACACGUUAAUGUUUUAAUGUCAUUUGGUGUGGAAUUCAGAUGUCCAAGCAACAUUUUACACUACAAAUCUGCAACUUUAAUAAUCACUCAAAGUACCUGAACCUCAAUGCUUUCAGACAGACUUGGUAUAAAGCCACCACCUCUUUCUAUUAUGGCAGCCCUAUC